rnacentral:lncRNA from 1 species
AUAUGUGAGGAUAGCAGCUUGAGGGCUCCAGAGAGAGUAUCAGAUCCCCAGAGCUGGAGUUAUGGACAAUCGUGAGCCACCAUCUGGGUGCCAGGAAUCAAACUUGGGUAUUCUCCAAGAGAAACAAUUCCUCCUAACUAACACGGAGCCAUCUCUUCAGCCCCUUAAGGGCUUGUUCCUAGUCUAUGUGCAAUACCCAAAUUUUGAAGGGACGUAUUCAGUUGUUACUCAGCUUCAGAGGAGGGGAAUUAGCAAAAGAGAACUUAUCUUCAUCUGUCAGAAUACGGGGUAGUUACCCCACUUCUGGUCAUAAGGACAAAGAAAAUGGCAGACACACUGUCAGGGUUACAGCUUCCGUCUUUGACUGCAGCCUGUUGAUGUGCGUGAGGAGCAGGGUUUGCAACCAGGAUAAGAAAAUGAGUUGGAGGACCACAGCAAAGUCAGGUUCAGAUGUGUUUGGUUCAAGCCUGCAGGUGAGUGAUUCCUUUGUGUGUUGUGUGUGGUUUUGUGCUGACAUCAAGACCCCACUAUAACUUAAGUUUUGUUCCUUUAUUUUCCGUAACUUUACUCGCACAGGUCAAAUUUGUUGGGGCAUAAAGGUGAAGUGGCAGAAGAAUUUGGUAUAAUCAUGAAGGCACUGUGGACAGGACAGUAUAGAUACAUCAGUCCAAAAGACUUUAAAGUCACCAUUGGUAAGAUUAAUGACCAGUUUGCAGGAUCCAGCCAGCAAGAUUCACAAGAGCUGCUGCUUUUCCUCAUGGAUGGCCUCCACGAGGAUCU